rnacentral:rRNA from 1 species
AAGCGUGAAACCGCGAACGGCUCAUUACAACAGCUAUAAUUUACUUGAUCUUGACAUCCUACUUGGAUAACUGUGGUAAUUCUAGAGCUAAUACAUGCACCAAAGCUCCAACCCGCAAGGGAAGAGCGCAUUUAUUAGAACAAAACCAUACGGCUCUAAGCCGUCCAAUGCUGACUCAGAAUAACUAAGCUGAUCGCAUGGUCUUGUACCGGCGACGUGUCUUUCAAGUAUCUGCCUUAUCAACUUUCGAUGGUACUGUCAUUGACUACCAUGGUGGUGACGGGUAACGGAGGAUCAGGGUUCGACUCCGGAGAAGGGGCCUGAGAAAUGGCCACUACGUCUAAGGAUGGCAGCAGGCGCGCAAAUUACCCACUCUCAGUACAACUAGAGGAGGUAGUGACGAGAAAUAACGAGACCGUUCUCAACAGAGGCCGGUCAUCGGAAUGGGUACAAUUUAAACCCUUUAACGAGUAUCUAUGAGAGGGCAAGUCUGGUGCCAGCAGCCGCGGUAAUUCCAGCUCUCAAAAUGCAUAGAAUUAUUGCUGCGGUUAAAAAGCUCGUAGUUGGAUCUGUGCUGACAGGCUGGUCCAUCUUCGGAUGCGUACUGGUUCUAUGUUGGCAGUUCUGUAGUUUUCGGCUCAGUNCCUCUCGGGGUGCUAUGUCCGGUACUACAAGUUUACUUUGAACAAAUCAGAGUGCUCUAAACAGGCGUUUCGCUUGAAUGUUCGUGCAUGGAAUAAUAGAAGAGGAUUUCGGUUCUAUUUUAUUGGUUUUAUAGACUGAGAUA